GUAGAUACAGGCAGGGUCGGAUAACAGGCCAGACAGGAUAGUCGAGGGACAGGCAGGAUCAGGGAACAGGCAGAGCAGGCAGAUCGAGGACAGGCAGGGUCGGAACCGGGUAGGCAAUCUAGUAUCAAACGCGGGAAAGACAAGCACGCGGGAAAGUACAAUCUGGCAAAGAGUGUGUGUGUAAGGUGCAUGUUUAAAUACUGGCAGAAGCUAAUGGGUGCAGAAGAGAAAGAGAGUGAGCUAACGAGUGGGUGUGGAAAACAGGUGAGACAGGUGAAUGGAAAACUACUGGUGAAUGAUGGAGCAGACUAUGACAGGGGCUGUGCAAAGCUGACAACACAUUUCCCGAGUUUUGGAAUUUCCACUGCAUCAUUCACCGGGUGCAACCUGUGUCCAAAUCACUGAAUUUAGACAACGUCAUGAAGCCUGUGAUGGAAAUCGUAAACUACAUCCGCACGCAUGCUCUUAACCACAGGCAAUUUAAGAAUCUCAUCGCUGAACUCGACCAAGGGCUUCCAGGAGACCUGCCGCUGCACUGCACUGUGAGGUGGCUUUCUAAAGGCAAAGUGCUGUCUCGCUUCUUUGAGCUGUUGGAUGCUGUGAAACUGUUCAUGGAACAGAAGGACAAGGAUUAUCCGGAGCUCUCAGACCCCAAGUGGAUUAUGGAUCUGGCCCUUUUGGUCGACAUGCUGUGUCAUCUGGACAGACUGAACCUGGAUCUGCAAGGAAAGUUAAAAAUGCUGCCUGACUUAGUGCAAAGUGUAUUUGCGUUUGUUAACAAACUGAAACUGUUUAAGACACAUCUUCAAAAGGGAGAAUUAGCGCAUUUUCCCUCUCUGCUAAAAGCAAACAGCCCGUUAUGCAAUAUUGGUUGAAACCCUGCAGGAAAACGUUGCGACCCGGUUCCAUGAUCUACAUGUGAAAAGGCCACAGAUUACGUUCCUCGUCGAUCCUUUUUAAUGCUGAGACGGACUGUUUGAAAGCCCCGCUAGUCAAGGACGAGGCGGUGGCCGAGUUGGAGAUGAUCGAACUUUCAGAGGAUGACCGACUGAAACCUGUUCUGAGGGAAGGGACCCUUGAGUUCUGGAAAACUGUGCCGAUCGAAAAAUACCCAAAUGUCAAACGGGCUGCGCUCAAGCUACUUUCAAUGUUUGGGUCAACAUACGUCUGUGAGUCUGUGUUUUCUACCCUGAAACAUGUGAAAUCCAAGCAUCGAUCUGUUCUGACUGACACACAUGUGAGAGAAUUGCUUAGAGUGGCCACAACGGAAUACAUGCCAGAUUUGAGGAGGAUUGUUCAAAGCAAGGAAUGUCAGAAGUCCCACUAAUUUAAAAUUCCAGUUUGUGGCAACACUUGCCUAAUGUUGUUGACUCAGAAGAAGCCUAUCUGCCCACCCGUCUGAUUAUUUUGAUUGUUGGGAUUUGUGUAAAGCGCAGUCGAUACCUCGUAAGGAAAAGCAAACAAGGACUGUCAAUAAAUCAGGUUAAGAAAUGCACACAAACAGGGAGGUUAAACUGUCAGAGAUGGGGGAGUUUAAGGGCGGUUAACUCAGAACAUUACAGACGGACCGAGCUGGGUUAUGGAGACGGCAUGAGAUAAAAAAUUAACACAGGACUUGGGGGCAUGAUAUGUAUGUUCUCCUCCCAUUGGCUCAGAACAGGGAGUUCAGGUCCAAUGAGUUGGAUGAAGGGGGACACGCAUAUGGCAAACAUAUCAGUUUUCUAGAUCCUAAAAUGAAACAUAAAAUUGAUGGUAAACUGGAAUAAAAAGCGAGAAAA